rnacentral:rRNA from 1 species
UACGAAGGGGGCUAGCGUUGUUCGGAAUCACUGGGCGUAAAGCGCACGCAGGCGGAUCGUUAAGUCAGGGGUGAAAUCCCGAGGCUCAACCUCGGAACUGCCUUUGAUACUGGCGAUCUUUGAGUCCGGGAGAGGUGAGUGGAACUCCGAGUGUAGAGGUGAAAUUCGUAGAUAUUCGCAAGAACACCAGUGGCGAAGGCGGCUCACUGGCCCGAUACUGACGCUGAGGCACGAAAGCGUGGGGAUCAAACAGG